CUGCAUAUUUUGUGCUUUCUGAAAGUGGGUCACACGCGCCAGGUGGCGCUUGGGGAAGGGCUAAUGCAGUUGACUGGGCAGGUGGCAUUGAUGUGGCUUGCAUUGGAAGUCAACAAUUGACUUUGACUUUGACCAUUGACGUGGCAUGUCCACGUGUAUAUUUUUAAUUUUAAUUUUGCUUUUUUCAAAUUUUGAAAAAAAAAAAAAAUUCUACAAGUGGACCUACUAACACUUCGACCAACUUUAACUUGAGAAUUUUGGAUCAAAGUGUAUCUUUUCUAUCUUCUUCAAGAACUCAAGAAUAAGAAAAAACCUCAAUCUUCAAAUAUUCAUAAGUCCUUCGUUUUUGCUCCAAAUUCAACGAAAUUUCCACCCACGUGCUCCUUUCAACAGCACGAACAAACCUCACUAUUUUUUAGUCUUCAAUUCCAAGCCAAAAAUAAAUCCACUUUUCAAAAUUGACAAGUUUCAAAAGCUUCAACCUCUUUAAUGGUAAUUUCACUACUACACGUCUAAAUCAAAUGAAAUUCGAGAUUUAGGCUCAAAAAAUACUAAGGAAUCAAGAUAGUGUCAAAAGCAACAAAUCAAAACAAAAAAAAUUCUGAAAUUUUUGGAUGAUUUUUCUUGGAAUUUUUUUUUAUCAUUAUUUUUGAACAGAUCUAUACCCCAAGAUUUAGAUUUGUGAAAACAAACCUAAACCUAAGCUCCUAUGCCAAAAUGAUAAGAAUCAAAGAAGGAAGAACAAGAAAGAAGGAAAACAAAGAAAAAGGAUAUGUGGGUUAACACACUCAAGCUCUUGAAAUUAUGGGCAAUAAGGGGCUAAACCCUCAAUCUUUAGUCUCGAGUAGUAGUUAACGCACUAUUUAAUUGCAGUAAUUAUUUCCUUGUAGUAGUUAACUCCAGUAAUAGUUACUCCACUAGUUAGUUGUAGUUUCUUAGUCCAGUAGUAGUUACUUCUUUGCAGUAGAUUUGCAAUUUUUCAUUCCAGUAAUAUUAGAAAGUCAUGUCUAGUGUCUAGGGGUAGUUAUCUUGUUAGUAUUUGUAUUUAAAUUCCGUGUUUAUCCCAGGAAAUCUAAGCAGAAAGUUAAGUUUUAAAGUACUUCAAACUCAAGAGAUCGCAGGUUCUCUGUUAAUGAACCAGUGCCAUAGGCUGUAUGAAGAAG
rnacentral:lncRNA from 1 species